rnacentral:rRNA from 1 species
AAUAUUGCGCAAUGGAGGGAACUCUGACGCAGCGACGCCGCGUGAGCGAUGAAGGUCUUCGGAUCGUAAAGCUCUGUCCUUGGGGAAGAAUGCUGUUGAAGAAACAGCUUGACGGUACCCGAGGAGGUAGCCCCGGCUAACUACGUGCCAGCAGCCGCGGUAAUACGUAGGGUGCAAGCGUUAAUCGGAAUUACUGGGCGUAAAGCGUGCGCAGGCGGUUCGGCAAGAAGGAUGUGAAAUCCCAGGGCUUAACCUUGGAACUGCAUUCUUAACUGCCGGGCUAGAGUAUGUCAGAGGGGGGUAGAAUUCCGCGUGUAGCAGUGAAAUGCGUAGAGAUGCGGAGGAAUACCGAUGGCGAAGGCAGCCCCCUGGGAUAAUACUGACGCUCAUGCACGAAAGCGUGGGGAGCAAAC